GAUGAACGCUGGCGGCGUGCCUAAUACAUGCAAGUCGAGCGAACGGACGAGAAGCUUGCUUCUCUGAUGUUAGCGGCGGACGGGUGAGUAACACGUGGAUAACCUACCUAUAAGACUGGGAUAACUUCGGGAAACCGGAGCUAAUACCGGAUGAUAUUUCGAACCGCAUGGUUCAAAAGUGAAAGACGGUCUUGCUGUCACUUAUAGAUGGAUCCGCGCUGCAUUAGCUAGUUGGUAAGGUAACGGCUUACCAAGGCAACGAUGCAUAGCCGACCUGAGAGGGUGAUCGGCCACACUGGAACUGAGACACGGUCCAGACUCCUACGGGAGGCAGCAGUAGGGAAUCUUCCGCAAUGGGCGAAAGCCUGACGGAGCAACGCCGCGUGAGUGAUGAAGGUCUUCGGGUCGUAAAACUCUGUUAUUAGGGAAGAACAUAUGUGUAAGUAACUGUGCACAUCUUGACGGUACCUAAUCAGAAAGCCACGGCUAACUACGUG
rnacentral:rRNA from 1 species